AUGAAUCUCCUCGUCUGGAACUGUCGGAGAUUGGGGUUGGACCCGAUAGUUGGAGAACUAAGGGACCUGAUUAGGUCAUACAACCCAGCGGUGGUGUUCCUGAGCGAGACAAAGAAGAAGGCGCGAGCUAUGGAUAAGGUUAAAUGGAGUUUAGGGUUCCGUAAUGGCAUUGCUGUGGACUGUGAAGGAAGGAGUGGGGGUUUAGCCCUACUUUGGAGGGAUCAUAUUUCAGUGACAGUUAGGCCGUGGUGCCAGUUCUAUAUCGAUGCAGAAAUCAAUUCUGAGGGAAGAACAGUUAGAUUCACUAGAAUUUACAGAGAACCUCGAGCGGAGCACAGGUAG
rnacentral:rRNA from 1 species